rnacentral:rRNA from 1 species
AUCAUUGGGCGUAAAGCGCGCGCAGGCGGUCCCUUAAGUCUGAUGUGAAAGCCCACGGCUCAACCGUGGAGGGUCAUUGGAAACUGGGGGACUUGAGUGCAGAAGAGGAAAGCGGAAUUCCAAGUGUAGCGGUGAAAUGCGUAGAGAUUUGGAGGAACACCAGUGGCGAAGGCGGCUUUCUGGUCUGUAACUGACGCUGAGGCGCGAAAGCGUGGGGAGCAAACAGGAUUAGAUACCCUGGUAGUCCACGCCGUAAACGAUGAGUGCUAAGUGUUAGGGGGUUUCCGACCCUUAGUGCUGCAGCUAACGCAUUAAGCACUCCGCCUGGGGAGUACGGUCG